ensembl:ncRNA asRNA:CR42871 antisense RNA:CR42871
AAUGAGUAUGAGAUCAAAAGCUACGAUAUCUGGCGAUACCGAUUAAAGAAGAGUAACUACUAAUAAUUGAGAAAACAUUGUUUAUCCAGUUUGUGGUUAAAUAGUAAAAACGCCACUGCAAAUACAUUUAUUGUAAUUUUGAAACACCCGCCACCCAUCAGCAAGCUCAGGGAAACGUAUUUGAUCCACGCAUGGGAGGUGGACCAUCAACAGUCUCCUCGAUGAGCAGCGGCGAGCUCCAGCGCAUUAGGAAGUAGGCAGAUCCGGAUUUAUCGUUUGUCCCGGACAACCGAUUUCCACCAAAGGGAGUCAGCCCGUACGUGCUACCCGUGCAUCGCUCAUUCACGUAGAGAUUACUAGCGGACAUUCGCAGUUGGUUCAGGCAGUGAAGGAUAACCUCAUCCUGACUUGCGAAUAUGGAGCCGGAGAGCGCGUAUCUGGACUGAUUGGCGGCAAGCUUGAGAGCCUCACUGAAGGAAUCGUCCGAAUAGACGAACACCGGCAAGAACGGUCCGCAGCAGGGCUCACACAGCAGUGGAUCCAAUGGAUCCGACACCCGGACAAUCGUUGGAUCAACGAAUCUACCAGUGCUGUCAUCACAGCUGCCUCCGCACAACUGCUCCAUGUUCUUGGUGCGCUGCAGUAGUUUCUGCAUCCGCCGGAAGUCAUUUAUAUGCACCAUCGCUCCUAUAUCCGUUUCCGAUUCGAUGGGGUCUCCGAUGGUCAGUUGCUCCGUGGCCUCCACCAACUCCUCCCUGAGGCGUGGCCACAUUGACGAGGGCACAUACAUCCGGGAGAGCGAGUUGGCAUACUGUCCGGCAAAGCCAAAGGCCGCCUGCACGGUGGCUGAGACGACAGAUUCCACCUUAGCGCUGGCAUGGACAAAAUGAAAGUUCUGACCCGGGCACUCGGCCACCAGACGAGGAAAACAGAUGUAUCGCUCCAUUCGAUCGCUCACCAGCUUGUGCACAUGCCUGUAAAAAGCUGCACUCGCUUGAGUAUUCAGUCCGGCAAAGUGCACGGCAUCCGUGAUGGUGUCCAAGAACAGACGCUCGUUGGCCGGCACAAAGUUGAUAACGCCGCUGGGCAAACCCGCCUCCUGGAAGGCUCUGAAAAUUAAAUAGCUCACUGGUGCCACUUCCAAUGAGGGAUUCCACAACACCGUGUUGCCCAUGAGCGCCGGACAGAGGGCCAAGCUGGAUGACAAGGCCACCGAUUCAAAUGGUGCCAGUGCGGCCACAAAUCCAUCCAUGGGUCGCAAAUGAAAGCUGGGGAAUACAUUCAUAUCACCCUGGAUCUCAAAGCGCAGCUCGGACAGAUGCUCCAAAUAGUCAGCAUUGGCCCUCAGCGAUGUGAGUAGCCGCCGAAUGUCCCGCGUCGCAUCGUCGGCGGUUUUGCUCAGCGUCAUCAUGAGGAACACUCUCAGCCGCAGCUCGUCCUCCUCGAUAAUGGUGGCGGCACGUCGCCAAAUGGCCAGUCGCUGGGCGAUGGGAACUAGACUCCAAGUUCCUUGCGCCGAAAGAGCAGACUUAAUUGCCGCCUCGAUUUGCUUGCGAUUGGCGUAGUAGACGUGAGCCAAGUUCGUCUGCAGGUGAUGCGGGCAGCAAACACGCUGAGUGUCCAUGGUGUACACUGUAUCAUCGCCGAUAAUUGUGGGCACCUCCAACGGCCUGUGCUGAAUCUCCUGAAUGGCAUGAUUAACUAAUACUCUCUGGUUCCUGUGAAUACUUGGAUUUUCUUCCGCCGGCUGGGAAUCCGGCUCGACCUCUUGUUGGUCCUCAUCCUGUUCCGGCUGGACUGCUUUCUGCUUGUCCACGGAGAUUUUUGUCUCGCCUUUAAUGAUAGCCAUUCCACCAAGGCGACGACAUCUGAAGGACCAUCGAGUGGGGACCGCGAGUCCCAGCUUAAGCAUUGCUUGGACAAUUUUAAUUUGAAGCUUUUAACAGGAAUUUAUUCUACAUUUGCCAGUUUAAUAUUCGUAUACUUAAGUGUAUAAAAAUAUAUGUGUAAUGUGUGUUUAAACAGUGCGUUUCGCCGAUGUAAGACAGUUGUGGAAAAGGCAGUUCGUUUUCUAAAUCCAAAGGCAUUCAAAACGAAGCAGAUUGCAAUAGUUCUAUGGCCUGGAAACAACAAAAUAUUAAUAAUAAUAAGACCAAACAAUUUGUGUAAGCCAUAAAAAUAAGAGAUUUACAAAUUCUUGAGAAUACAAAUGUAUUUGUAACAGAACGAAAUUUAAGCUCAUAACAUUUAAGGUCCAAUUAUCACAUACUUUUUGUUUCAAAUAAAAAUGUUUCAAAUAUUUCGAC